UCUUCCUUGGAUCUCUUUUGCUGGUUCAACAUGGAGAAGAGGAUGAUUCCGAUCGCGCUGUUGGAGGGCGUCACGCGGUGGGGAUUUCGUGGCCCGCCGAAUCUUUACGGCAGCGGCAGAGGAGGAGGAGGAAACGGCGUUGGCCGAGAUUGCGACGAAGUCGGAUGCUAGGGUUUCUCCAGUUUUGCGGCUUAUUUAGCUCGCCCGCCCCAAUGGAGUUGCGAAUACAGGACUUAAUGCCGUUUGGUUUUUGGUCGUAUUAGAGGACAAGGAGGGUCGGGAGGAGGUAAUGGGAUUGGACGAGAUUGCGAGGUAGCCACAUGCUAGGGGACGGCGUUUCAGCUCGCCCACCCUAAUGGAGCGAUGGAUCCUGGACGGGCUACUCCGGAUACGAGGUUCUCAUCGCCGGUGUUCUCAGUGAUAAAACAAGAUUUUUGCUGUUGUUCACCACUCUGCAGCAUGAUGCGGAAGCUGGUUCACUGAAGAAGUUUCUCCUAUCAGAUGAUGCAGUGGUGGCAGUGAAGAGUCCAAGUUUAUUGUCCUUCCACACGCAAUUGAUCUCCUCUUCCUUCCCCUCAACUGCGGCCACCAACAUUAGCACCCUGUGGCAUCAGGCCUGCUAAUCAUCCCUGAAGCCCCAACAUCUUGUGUUCGGCAUCGUCUAGGCCACAUCUGAUGUGAUCAAUGGAUCUCAUAUCAGCACAUUGUCCAAACCUUUGAGGGUUUUAAGGAAUUAUCUGCAUAAGUAGACUGAUCAAGACAGACAGGUGUCGGCACAAACAUAUGUGAAGACGGACUUUCCUUAAUGGAGAGGUUGAGUCUUCAAUAUUCCAUGCAUGGGAAACAAAGGCUAUAAUGCAUUUUGAGGUGUUGGCCAGGACUGAAGAUAAUGGAAGAGCAGUCCCAGAGAGGAUUGCUGACAUCCAUCCAUCUGAUACAGGAAAGAGUAGUAGAUAGCUCACGGACCUGAGAAUUGUCUCUAAGGCUCAAGUAAUCCAGCUUUUGUUUUGACAAGUUCUUCCUUGUUGCUUUUGUUUUGGGAAGAGGGAACAGCCAGAAUAAGAGUUCCAAAACAGGAAUUCUAAUUUUCUUUUUUGUCACCAAAGAACCAAAGAACAAGCUGCUUGUGCUGUGCAAUCAUUCCAAGAAACUGUAUCCACAUGAUGAUUCAAGAAAAGGGGAAUGCUGUGUUUUCCUUUUUACAAAGAAGAAUGAAGCUUUAUUAUCUGCGCAGUCCAUAAUAGAG